AGGAUAAACGCUGGCGGCGUGCCUAACACAUGCAAGUCGAACGUCUCUUCUUUCGGGAAGAGGAGUGGCGGACGGGUGAGGAACACGUGGGAACCUGCCCUUUAGUGAGGAAUACCGGCGAGAAAUCGCCGACAAGACCGCAUAGCCCUCUUUGAUGAGAGUCAAAGAAGGAAAGCUUCGCAAGAGGCGCUAGAGGAGGGGCCUGCGUCCGAUUAGCUAGUUGGUGGGGUAAGAGCCUACCAAGGCGUCGAUCGGUAGCUGGUCUGAGAGGACGAUCAGCCACACUGGGAUUGAGAACGGCCCAGACUCCUACGGGGGCAGCAGUGAGGAAUUUUCGGCAAUGGGGGAAACCCUGACCGAGCAACGCCGCGUGCAGGAAGACGGCCUUCGGGUUGUAACUGCUUUCUUUGGGACGAGGAAGGACGGUACCAGAGGAAUCAGCCCGGCUCACUACGUGCCAGCAGCCGC
rnacentral:rRNA from 1 species